rnacentral:rRNA from 1 species
CAGCCGCGGUAAUUCCAGCUCCAAUAGCGUAUACUAAAGUUGUUGCGGUUAAAAAGCUCGUAGUUGGAUCUUGGAAUGUGUUCAAGCGGGUCAGCUUCUGGCUGUGCGCUGCUUGACGUGUUCUUCUAUUUGGUUUUGGUGCGGUGCGCUUAACUGCGUGUCGCUCCCGGCCGAAACGUUUACCUUGAAAAAAUUAGAGUGUUCAAAGCAGACCUGUUUGAGUCUGAAUAUUCGUGCAUGGAAUAAUGAAAUAUGAAUUCGGUUCUAUUUUGUUGGUUUUCGGAACUCGAGUUAAUGAUCAAGAGGGACAGACGGGGGCAUUCGUACUCUGCCGUUAGAGGUGAAAUUCUUGGAUCGGCGGAAGACGCGCAACUGCGAAAGCAUUUGCCAAGAAUGUUUUCUUUAAUCAAGAACGAUAGUCGGAGGUUCGAAGACGAUCAGAUACCGUCCUAGUUUCGACUGUAAACUAUGCCAGCUAACGAUCAGACAGAGUUCUCUACGACUUGUCUGGCAGUUUCCGGGAAACCAAAGCGUUUGGGUUCCGGGGGAAGUAUGGUUGCAAAGCUGAAACUUAAAGGAAUUGACGGAAGGGCACCACCAGGAGUGGAGCCUGCGGCUUAAUUUGACUCAACACGGGGAAACUCACCCGGCCCGGACACAGUGAGGAUUGACAGAUUGAGAGUUCUUUCUUGAUUCUGUGGGUGGUGGUGCAUGGCCGUUCUUAGUUGGUGGAGCGAUUUGUCUGGUUAAUUCCGAUAACGAACGAGACUCUGGCAUGUUAAAUAGUCGCGGAAGUGCGUAUGCACUUGCCGAAUUGACCUCUUAGAGGGACUAGUGAUUUUAAUUCACACGAGAUUGAGCAAUAACAGGUCUGUGAUGCCAGGGCGAUUCGUUAAAGCUGCAAGAA